AGUUACCGAGGUGCCGAAGGGAAACCGUGAAACGUGCCGCCUGGGAAGUACGGUCGCAAGGCUGAAACUUAAAGGAAUUGGCGGGGGAGCACCACAACAGGUGGAGCCUGCGGUUUAAUUGGACUCAACGCCGGGAAGCUCACCGGAUAAGACAGCAGAAUGAUUGCCGGGCUGAAGACUCUGCAUGACUAGCUGAAAGGAGGUGCAUGGCA
rnacentral:rRNA from 1 species